rnacentral:rRNA from 1 species
AUUGAACGCUGGCGGCAGGCCUAACACAUGCAAGUCGAACGAGUGGCGGACGGGUGAGUAAUGUCCGGGAAACUGCCCGCUGGCGGGGGAUAACUACUGGAAACGGCAGCUAAUACCGCAUACCAUCUGAUGUUCCCAGAUGGGAUUAGCUUGUAGGUGGGGUAACGGCUCACCUAGGCGACGAUCCCUCGCUGGGCUGAGAGGAUGACCAGCCACACUGGAACGGAGACACGGUCCGAACUCCUACGGGAGGCAGCAGUGGGGAUUAUUGCACAAGGGGCGAAAGCCUGAUGCAGACAUGCCGCGUGUAUGAAGAAGGCCUUCGGGUUGUAAAGUACUUUCAGCGGGGAGGCGGUACCCGCAGAAGAAGCAACGGCUAACUCCGUGCCAGCAGCCGCGGUAAUAC